rnacentral:tRNA from 1 species
GCCCAUGUAGUCUAGUGGUAGAACGCGUCCCUCUCACGGACGUAGCGUCGGUUCGAUUCCGACCACGGGUACCA